rnacentral:rRNA from 1 species
UACGGGGGGAGCAAGCGUUGUUCGGAUUUACUGGGCGUAAAGGGCGCGUAGGUGGCGGCCCAAGUCAACGGUGAAAGCUCGGCGCUCAACGCCGAGUCGGCCGUCGAUACUGGGUUGCUUGAGCACUGUAGGGGCCAAUGGAAUUCCGGGUGUAGCGGUGGAAUGCGUAGAGAUCCGGAAGAACACCGGUGGCGAAGGCGGUUGGCUGGGCAGGUGCUGACACUGAGGCGCGACAGCGUGGGUAGCAAACAGG